rnacentral:rRNA from 1 species
UACGUAGGUGGCGAGCGUUGUCCGGAUUUACUGGGCGUAAAGAGCGCGCAGGCGGUCGUUCAAGUCGAGUGUGAAAGCCCCCGGCUCAACUGGGGAGGGUCAUUCGAUACUGAUCGACUCGAAGGCAGGAGAGGGAAGUGGAAUUCCCGGUGUAGUGGUGAAAUGCGUAGAUAUCGGGAGGAACACCAGUGGCGAAGGCGACUUCCUGGCCUGUUCUUGACGCUGAGGCGCGAAAGCUAGGGGAGCAAACGGGG